AUACGUUUAAAUUUUUGUUUUAUAUUAAAAAGUGUUCUGAAAAAAAGUCUGAUACGCCCUCUAUCCGAGAACAAUAUAUUAAAUGAAUUUUUGGAGCAGGGAGUCGGAAUAGGAGCUUGCUCCGUCCACUCCACGCAUCUACCCGGUAUUGCAGUACUUCCGGGAACGGUGUACCUCCC
rnacentral:snRNA from 1 species